rnacentral:rRNA from 1 species
CCCGCUGAACUUAAGCAUAUCAAUAAGCGGAGGAAAAGAAACUAACAAGGAUUCCCCUAGUAACUGCGAGUGAAGCGGGAAGAGCUCAAAUUUAAAAUCUGGUGUGCCCCAUGGUCGCCCGAGUUGUAGUCUGGAGAAGCGUUUUCCGUAUUGGCCGUGUAUAAGUCCCUUGGAACAGGGCGUCAUAGAGGGUGAGAAUCCCGUCUUUGACACGGACUAUCAAUGCUAUGUGAUGCGCUCUCAAAGAGUCGAGUUGUUUGGGAAUGCAGCUCAAAAUGGGUGGUAAAUUCCAUCUAAAGCUAAAUAUAGGCGAGAGACCGAUAGCGAACAAGUACCGUGAGGGAAAGAUGAAAAGCACUUUGGAAAGAGAGUUAAACAGUACGUGAAAUUGCUGAAAGGGAAACGCUUGAAGUCAGUCACAUCUGCCGGGACUCAGCCUUGCUUCUGCUUGGUGUAUUUUCUGGUUUGAUGGGCCAACAUCAAUUUUGACCGUUGGAGAAAGGCUUUGGGAAUGUGGCACCUUUGGGUGUGUUAUAGCCCUUUGUCGUAUACGCGCGGUUGGGAUUGAGGACUGCAGCACGCCUUCAUGGCCGGGGUUCGCCUACGUACGUGCUUAGGAUGUUGGCAUAAUGGCUUUAAGCGACCCGUCUUGAAACACGG